rnacentral:tRNA from 1 species
GGAGAGAUGGCUGAGCGGUCGAAGGCGGCGGUCUCGAAAACCGUUAACUGGUUUUACCGGUUCGGGGGUUCGAAUCCCCCUCUCUCCGCCA